rnacentral:lncRNA from 10 species
UAAUCAGGCCACUGGGGCAUUGCUAGUUGUGCUGUCCCUGAUAUUCACCGUGCAAACUGACAUGCUGAAAGCUGCCCUAUGGAGAGGCUCAUGUGGCAAGGAACAGAGGGUGGCUUCUGGCCAACACCCAGUGAGGAACUCAGGCCCUCAGUCAAACAGCCUGCAAGGAACUGAACCCUGCCAAUAACCAGGCAGUGUCAGCCCCCGGCCAAUGACCACCAUGGACCUCCCUGUAGUUGAACAAAGUUGGGUUUGCUGACUGGUGGCAGUGAGGGAGAAUGCACACCACAGGGAGCUGUGCAGUGUCUCAGUAAGAAGCCAGGAGCCAUCCCGUGAGGCCGUUACUGCAAACAAGCUGAAAAUCCUGCUUUGUUUCUUUUGGACACAACAUGCUUUCCUUCAGCUUCAGUAGACGAUGAGGCCAGCACCACAUGGGCUAGAUGUACAUGAGAUGUGAGCAACCACACUUCCCCUCUGACGGGGACAGACAGCAUCACAGGACAUGAAGUUCUAAGAGGUUCAGUGACUUGUCUAAGAUUAAACAGCUAUGAAUGGAGAACUGGAGGCAAAUGCUGAGCUCUGAAACUUCUCCUGGCAGUUCAAGAGAGCGAUGGAGGGAAUGCUGGGGCACAUCUAAAUAAAGCCUCCAAGUGGGAGUUCCUGCUCAGCUAUGCAUGAGCUCUUUGUGACUUCAUCUCCCAGCCUACAACUUGUGAAAUAAGCACGACUUCACUCAGAGCACAGCCAGAAACAUACAAACUUUCCA